GACGAACGCUGGCGGCGUGCUUAACACAUGCAAGUCGAACGGAAAGGCCCUGCUUUUGUGGUGUGCUCGAGUGGCGAACGGGUGAGUAACACGUGAGUAACCUGCCCUUGACUUUGGUAUAACUUCAGGAAACUGGGGCUAAUACCGGAUAGGAGCUCCUGCUGCAUGGUGGGGGUUGGAAAGUUUCGGCGGUUGGGGAUGGACUCGCGGCUUACCAGCUUGUUGGUGGGGUAGUGGCUUACCAAGGCUUUGACGGGUAGCCGGCCUGAGAGGGUGACCGGCAAAAUUGGGACUGGGAUAGGGCCCAGCCUCCUACGGGAGGCAGCAGUGGGGAAUAUUGCAAAAUGGGCGGAAGCCUGAGGCAGCAACGCCGCGUGCGGGAUGACGGCCUUCGGGUUGUAACCCGCUUUCGCCUGUGACGAAGCGUGAGUGACGGUAAUGGGUAAAGAAGCACCGGCUAACUACGUG
rnacentral:rRNA from 1 species